ACAAGCUCAUACUUGCCACAAAACUAUUUUUAUUCAACAAUCCAACCUUCUGGCUGUAUGAAACACUUAAAAAAGAAAAGAAAAUGAAAUAACACUGUAGUCAAUUACAACUGUUUUUGCAGAUCAAGCAAAGACUCACACAAAUCUGAGGAAUAUUAUUUGGAAUCACCAUGUACUUUGCAGUUUUAAAACAAACUGUUGUAUAUGAUUACAACUGCUAAUUAGUCUGCAGUUAAAAAAAGGGCUUGCACACCUUAGUGAGUUGUUAAACCAAGCUGAUUAGCAUAACUCAUGGAUCCAACAUGAGAGAUGUCAAUUGAAAUCAAGAAAAGGAUUAUCAAACUUCUCAAACAAGGUUAAUCUUCACAGAAUGUGGCAAGAGAUGUUGGCUGUUCUCAGUCAGCUGUGUCUAGAUCAAGUACAAAUCAAAUGGGAAGGUUUGAAGAAGUGAAGCAUACUGGUAGAUGUCAAAGCGUCAGAAAACUUAAAGCAAUAUGCCUUCAACACAGAAAAUGCACAACAAAGCAAAUGAGGAACAAAUGGGCAGAAAGAGGGGUCACUGUCUGUGACUGGACUGUAAGAAAUCGCCUAAAAGAUUUACAUUUUACAUCAUAUAAAUUUAUGAUGACAGAUUUCCUCAAUCAUUAAGAAUAUGGGGUUGUAUGUCAGGUAAAGGUGUGGGAGAGAUGAAAGUCAUUACAUCCUCUUUAAAUGCACAAGUUUAUAUUGAGAUUUUGGACACUUUUCUUAUUCCAUCAGUUGAACAGAUGUUUGGUGAUGAUGACAGUUUUUCAGAUUGAUAAUGCAUAAGGCAAAAUCUGUGAAAACUUUCCUACAGGAAAGACAUAAAAUGUCAAUAGGAUGGCCUGCAAGUAGUCCAGACCUCAAUCCAAUUGAAAAUCUGUGGUGGAAAUGAAAGAAAAUAGUCCAUGACAAGGAUCCAACCUGCAAAGCUGAUCUGGCAACUGCAAUAAGAUAAAGUUAGAGACAGAUUGAUGAAGAAUACUGUUAAAUCCAUGCCUCAGAAAAUUCAAGCUGUUACAAAAGUCAGAGGUGGUGCAACAUAGUACUAGUGGUGUUUUUAUUUAAUGAUUCCAUAUCAUUUUCCUCAGAUUUGAGUGAUUCCAUAUUUUCUUCCUCUGCUUGAUCUGUUAUUAUUGUUAUUGACUACGGUGUUCUUUCAUUUUCUUUGUGUAUAAGCGUUUCAUACAGCCAGAAGGUUGGAUUGUUGAAUGAAAGUAGUUUUGUGGCAUGUGUGUGUUUGUUUUUUUCUGCACAAUUAAACAUUUAAAUUAACAUCUUUCAAGAGUGGUGAUUCCAUACCUAAUAAUGACAUUGGUAUGACCUAAAGAAGGUAUUACAAUGUUGAAAUGGUUUAUGAGGACAUGCGCUGUGUCUUAGUAGUUUAAAAUUUAAAAUUUUGACAUUCAAUAUUUGCCACAGGUUUCCUGUGAGGGUUGGGUUUAGGGGUAGGGGUGGGGUAAGGCCAUAAGUAUACUUACAUACACUCAAAAAUGACAUGUUGUUUGUUCAAACUACUUAAAUUACAACUUAUUUGUCUUAGGUUCAACCUAUUUAAAUUUGUGAAAAAAGUACAGUCUAAUGUAACCCAAUUCUGGAUGUAUUAGGGACUAACCCAACGAGAGGGGCCUGGAUGCAGAUCUGGUGCAGUGCAAUCUGUGCUGUAUCCAAUGCUUUUUAAUGCGCUCACCUAACCCUACCCCUCACAGUGACAUUACUAGCUCCAUUAAGUGCAUUGUGUCUGACAUUGCAUCGCUAAGAGAUGCAAUCUCAGCUUGUAACAUAAAGGCUGCAUCCAGAUACUAUUGAACCCAACUGCAAAUUUAAUCCAAUGUUUGGGUUAGUCCAUGUUUUACCCAGUUUGGGUUUAAAUAGCCCAGUAUUUCUUAAUGCAUAAGUUAACUUAAUUCCUUAAUGUUACCCCAACACAAAUCCAUUGUGUAAACCCAGCAUUUUUUCACAAUGUAAGUAUAUUUACAGUAUAAAAUACAUUAUGCCUAUGGAGGGUCCUCGAAAACCACCAAAACCAACAUGCGUGUGUGUGUGUGUGUGUGUGUGUGUGUGUGUGUGUGUGUGUGUGCGUGUGAGUGUGUGUAGGCACGUUUGGAAGCCGAAUGCCCUUCUCUGCACUAUCAUUCCAGAUCAGUCAUCACAGCAGUGUCAACAUUUAAACAAACUAUCCAUAGUGACAUCAACGUCGACAAUGUUCCCAUCAAGGACGCCACUGUUGGAGCUUGAUAAAUCCGUCACGGUCGACACCCAUCGACCACUUCAUGCUAACAAUGGAAGUGGUACUUAUGUGCAUUGUAAGUCUUGGCGCUACUGCUAACGGUUGCUUUUUUUACGUCCUUUGGUUGCUUUCAGUGCUUAGGGGAUUUUAGUGUUUAUAUACAAGCUAAAGGGAAAGGGAAAAAAGGCAGGCCGCCUGUCACACCAAUGCACUUGUCUUACAGUUGUGCUCAUCGAGAUGGACUCGCAGCCAGAUCGAGGCCUGUGAAAUCCCGGAAAGCGGCUCAAACUGGGUCAGCGACACAUCAAGGUAGUUCAGUCUAGAUUGUGGUCUCUUGUGUUUUUGUUUCCAGUGGAGUAUAAAAUAAUAAUUCAGUCACAUCGGAUAGAAUAUAUAAAGGGAAUGUACAGUGAACUCAUUUUAAUGCUAGAGCUGGGAUGUCUCGGAAAGGUUAUAAUAAUAUUUAAUGAAAAGAAAAAAAAAAAGCCUCAAAACAUCAUCCGAGGGCUUGUGUUUUAUAGUUUAAAUGUGUGAUUAGCCAGAAUACCUCUCAUAUGUCACAACGAAGAAUGUAUAUUCUUAUAUAAAACUGUUUUGAGUUGUCAUUUUCGAUUUAUAUAAAAAGAUCACUUUGUGUUAGCUGCCAGUGUGUGAAAUGGUGCCUAAUUUUAAUCAUUUGCGCUGUACAGGUUGUGUCUAGUUUUGGAAUGAUAUAUAGAUACGCUGUUGCACAUGAAUUUACGUGAAGCAAAAUUGAUCGGUGGAAGAACUGGAUGUUGUUUAUAGUAUUUGUGUAUCUGUGCUGUGAAAGUGAGUACUAUUUGUUCAUACCGCAUGCUAGACCAGCAACACACGUUACGAGUAAUAAAUUCACAAAAGAAGCAUGACCCAAAAUCUUUACAGCCAUGUGUACACAUGCUGAAUAUUUUUGUAUUCACGUUUCAACCAGCUUGAUACAUGGUAUAUGUAUUUUUGUAACAUUUGGGACCAUUUUUUCAUGGCUGUUUUAAUGUUCACAAGCAAUCAUUUUAAAUAAACAACUUGAGCUGUA